GUGGGCAGUGGUGGCUGUCACAUCAUAUUCCCAUGUGCGUACAAGGGAAUUACAAUCUCUGAAAAGGUUCCUCAAGGAAAAACUCUGUGAAUAAAACUCAGUGACAAGAUCAUCAUCCCAGACUCCUGGUUAUUGCUGUGUAUAGUCCUUUAACUACACCAGAGUGAUGCUGAGAACCUCAGUCUCUUCUACCUGGGCGUCCCUCUGCUAUUUAGGAUGAAAUCUUCCUUGCAAGGCAGGGGUUGUAAACUCAAAGAACAUACAGGAACCGGGCAAGAAGGUGCUGAUCUGAAAGAGUCAGAGCCCUCUCUGUCUUCUCUUUACCCACUUUGAAGCACAUAGUUCCGCUGUGUAAGUAAAACAACAAGCUAAGUGUUAGCAAUUCAUGCCAUUGGACCUUCGUUCAUAGUGGCAGGGAUGGCCACUCUGCAAAACUGGAGAGCACGUGUCCAUUGAGUGUGUUUUCCAACUACUAGCCACCAGGUUGGCUACCUGGCUCCUUGCUUUGGGGACACAUGGUGUCCAUCUGCCAUAGCCGCCAAUUUUUCAAGAAAUUCUGAAAUGUGAUGGGAAAUCUCUGUAUGAAUAAAUGUUGGAAACUGU